rnacentral:lncRNA from 1 species
CCACCCCACCAAGGGCUCGCACCCAGCCCAUGCUGACUCCAGUUGUCCUUGACUGCAUGGUUUCUGCUGGUCCAAGCAAACUUCUCCUGCCACGCCUAACCUUGGAGAGCAGGUACCCAAGCAAGCCACUCCUCAGGCAUUUUCCCCACAACUAGAAAUCCAGAGGCUUUGGAUCUUGAGAAGAACAUGAAGGAAAGAUGCCAGGAAGUACAGUCUGGUCUGCUGAUGAUGAUCAAUGGAGGAAGUGUUUCAUGGUGGACAUGGGAAACUGGCCAGAUCAACUGCUGUCACCUUCUAAGACCCAGACGGGGAGGAGGAAUGCCAGAGAAGCUGCAGACUCUCCGGCCACGGAGCCUGAGUGGAGCAGAGGUGGCCCACUGUCAGCCACAGGUCAAGUGUCAGGGUGGGGACGGGGCAGGCUCCACCAGAAGGCGGGGGCAGGCUCCACCAGAAGGCGGGGCCAGACCACAGGGCAAGGUGGAGAUGAGUCUGUGGCACCCCCAGGAAGUUUACCAGAUUUGCCCCAGAGCUUCUGACCCUUUGGAUCUCUCUGGGCUGCAUUCUUCAGGGUCCCAUUGCUUCUUUCUUGAAGGUGGAAGGAAAUGUUCCCAUCAGAGCCUUCCAACAGGCCACCUUGGGGGCUUCUCCUGAGAGCUCCUUGUGCACACACCCCUUCAGGGUGGCUUGGGUUGCGCCCUCAGACCCCAGUGGGGGGCCGUAUGGCAUCCUCCUUGGUCAGCAAGUGAGCCACAGCAGCAGGCCCCUCACAGACCUCAGCCUGGGGCCACAGGUCCCUUCUCCCCAUCUCCGCAUCUGGAGAAGCAACCUGUGGAGCAGCCAAGAGUGGCAGCCCUGGCUCUCUACAGCAUUCAUUUUCAGGGCAAGACAGAGCAUUUCCACUAUUAUGCUCCCCCCCCCGGCCUUUUUUUUUUUUUUUUGAGACAGGGUCUCACUCUGUUGCCCAGGCUGGAGUGCGGUGGCGCAAUCAUGGCUCACUGCAGCCUCGACCUUCUGGGGUCAAGUGAUCCUCCCAAUUCAGCCUCCAAAUUUCUUUAAACAAAAAAAAAUGCAAGAAAGGCAAAACAAGAUAUUUAUCUGGGCUGAGAGGGUAAAGAGAAGCUCUAUCUUUGAGCUGAGACACAAAAUGGAAAGAAGAGGCAGCAGCAGCGGCAGUAGCAGUUCUGCCUUUCCAAACCUUCCCUAUCUAAGUGCUUUCAAGAUAUGCUGAAAGUCAUGAAUUGAAGUGUGGUUCCCACGGCUUUAGUCCUUGUAUGAAGGUCCUUUUGCUAGAACUUACUUCCUUUCCAGCCCAUAUGGUUGACCUGGGGGUCCAGGCAGUUCUCAAGGGAACCACAGGAUUCCAUGUGAUCUGGGAUCCCAGUUGAUGAUCCCUCUUCUGGUCACAAGCUGAAUUGGACCCAAAUCUGCACCCUAAACUCCCCUCUUGCCAGAUCCUGCCCAGUCAGUGCCGUCCCCUCAGACUGGGUGGGCAGCCUGGGCUUCCUGCUGAGACGGGACCCCCCCCUCUCUUCUUGAUCUCACUCCCAGGAAAGACACUGAAGGAGCAGAGGUGUGGACGCCACAUACUGGACGGGGUUUCACCAUCUGCUGGGACGGGACACCCUCUCUUCUUGAUCUCACUCCCAGAAAAGACACUGAAGGAGCAGAGGUGUGGACGCCUCAUACUGCUAGAGACGGGGUUUCACCGUGUUAGCCAGGAUGGUCUCAAUCUCCUGAAGUCGUGAUCCACCCGCCUUGGCCUCCCAAAGUGCUGGGAUUACAGGCGUGAGCCACUGCACCCGGCUGAAAUUGUAUACUUUAAAGGGAUGAAUUUUAUGAGUCUCGCUCUGUCACCUAGGCUGGAGUGCAGUGGUGUGAUCUCGACUCAUUGCAAUCACCACCUCCUGGGUUCAAGCCUCAGGCACCCGAAUAGCUGGAAUUACAGGCACGCGCCACCACACUCUGCUCAUUUUUGUAUUUUUAGUAGAGAUGGAGUUUCACCAUGUUGCCCAGGCUGGUCUCGAACUCCUGAGCUCAAGAUAUCCACCUGCCUCAGCCUUCUAAAGUGCUGGGAUUAUAGGCAUGAGCCACUGCACCCGGCCAAAGUUUCAUUGUUAGUGGUUUCUGAAGAUCCCUGAGGAAUCUCGCUUCUGAGGCAGUGAAGUGGCUCAUCUUGUCCCCCUGACUCCUCCCCUCCUCUCCAGCUGCCUGCUCACCCCUCCGCGCAACUAACCUGCCCUGCAAUGGUCUCAUUGUUGAUGAAGUCAGUGAAGUCCACAGUGGGUGUCCAAGGGUCAUUCAAAUUGUAGAUGCUGGUGCUACUAGGUUCCUCCUCCUUCCGCUGGGUUACCACCAGCUGGUACCUACAGGAGUUUUUUAUUAGACCUACAAGUUCGUCAACUGUCCCACUGCCUGAAGCUGCACUGAAGAGUGAACACUAGGGGGAAAUGAGCCCCAAAGUCUUGGAGUAUUGAGCCUCUGUAUCAUUCUUUGUCCAGUUCUCCUUGCCUGUCUCUGUCUCUCUCUCUCUCCUCUGCAGACUUCCCCCACUUGUCCACUGUCCUGUACCUUAAACAUCAACUGGCCCACCAGGCUUCAGGUAGAAAUGUUGCUCAUCCAUCCAUCUGGAUCAGAGCAUGAUGUUGAGCCUGGGCCUUGGAACCAUACAUAUGGACAUGGCCUGUUUCCCAUCCUAGGUCAAGUUCAGUAUCUCAAAUACCUAGAUUUCAGGGAAUCCUCCCUCCGAUCUGUGUUCCCAUCUCACUGUUUUUUUCCUCCAACCUUUAAUGUGAACAUUUUAAACAUACAGAAAAAUUGGAAGAAUUGUAUAGUGAACAUCCACAUACUCAAGUCUAGCGUCUACCAUUAACAUUUUCCUAGAUUUUCUUCAAUGCCUCAUAUCUCAGCA